rnacentral:rRNA from 1 species
UAACCUGCUAACUAGUCACGCGAACCUUCGGGUUCGUGGCUGACUUCUUAGAGGGACUAUCGAUGUUUAAUCGAUGGAAGUUUGAGGCAAUAACAGGUCUGUGAUGCCCUUAGAUGUUCUGGGCCGCACGCGCGCUACACUGACGAAGGCAGCGAGUCUAUCACCUUGGCCGGAAGGUCUGGGUAAUCUUGUGAAACUUCGUCGUGAUGGGGAUAGAUCAUUGCAAUUAUUGAUCUUCGACGAGGAAUUCCUAGUAAGCGCGAGUCAUCAGCUCGUGUUGAUUACGUCCCUGCCCUUUGUACACACCGCCCGUCGCU